AGAGUUUGAUUAUGGCUCAGGACGAACGCUGGCGGCGUGCCUAAUACAUGCAAGUCGAACGCUUUUGUUUUCACCGGAGCUUGCUCCACCGAAAACAAAAGAGUGGCAGACGGGUGAGUAACACGUGGGUAACCUGCCCUCAAGCGGGGGAUAACACUUGGAAACAGGUGCUAAUACCGCAUAACAAUCAGAAUCGCAUGAUUUUGAUUUGAAAGGCGCUUUUGCGUCACUUGAGGAUGGACCCGCGGUGCAUUAGCUAGUUGGUGAGGUAACGGCUCACCAAGGCCACGAUGCAUAGCCGACCUGAGAGGGUGAUCGGCCACACUGGGACUGAGACACGGCCCAG
rnacentral:rRNA from 1 species